ensembl:lncRNA
GGCUCGGCAGGGAGUGAGAGUCACAGGUGUCGAGCCUACUGCAACAGAAGGAGAGCCGGAUUAUUGUCAGGUAGAGAAUACCGGAAGCAAGAUGAGUCUUUACUAGAGAUCAUGCUUACUUGGAAAGUGAAGAGUAAUGUGCUCCAAGGGAGAUGCAACCAGGUGAGUAUUGAGGUGAGAGGCGAAAUGAAUGAGCCCAAGAUGUCUGACAUUUUCUUCCUGUUGCAGUGAUCUGGCUGAGCAGAAGAGCAGCCAGGUAAGAUGUCUGAGCAUUGUGUUCUUCCAGACCACUGAGGAAAAGCAUCCCACAGAGAAAUUAAAGAGGAAAAAGAGCAGAUAUGAGAUCGGACGUGAACGGAGAGAAGACUCGAAGGGAGACAGCAGGACAGCCACAUUGCUUCCAGAAGAAGAUAGUAAUAAUAAAAUGCGUUAUUGUUGGGGUAUAAAACUGUAUGGCCUGAUCCAGGGUCAUCCUCUUUGUGAAGACAUCUGUUUUCACAUAGAGGUCCAGCAACUUGUCAUUUCAACAGCUGAAGCAAAUUAAAUCUUUUUAAAAGACAGAUAUUUCAGAUAAAAAAAGUUGACUUGACUUUUGGAAAAACCGGACAGGACAUUUCAAAGCCCACAGUUACUCCCUUUCAUUGUUGUCCUUUUGCAGAUGUUCUAAAAUAUUAGAGAGGAAACAGGUGUUUUAAAAUUAUAAUCUAAAAUUAAAAUGUCUAGCAAAAACAGCUGCAAGAAACAAAAAAUGGACUUCAUGUAGAAAAACUUUUUUUUUGUAUGUAGGUCAGUUUUCGUUUCAAAUCAGACAUGACACAUUAGAAGUCAUAAUACACAAAGGUAAGGGAGGAGUUGCAAAGAAAAAUAGAUAAGGUGUGUCAACUGCUGAUAUUUGUUUUUACAAACAGCUAGCUCUUCAUGAGAAGUCUCUCAGUUUACCUUGUUCCAAAUGCCGAAAAUACCUGUUGCUUUGGGUUCCAACCACAAAUCCCACACCCAAAAGAAAUGGCAGGUGUCUUAGAAACAGUAUCUUUGGAAGUUGUUUGUUCUGGCACUUUAUCAGUUUUUGUUCAAAGCUGAAUAAACAACUUAGAUACAUAAGUGAAGGUACAGCCAACCUCCUGCUGUGAUGUAAAUGGAUGGCAUUUGGGGACUGUUUGACUUCACGAUUGCUGCUUUGCCAUUCUGUAAAGCAAGGGUGUCAAACUCCAGGCCUCGAGGGCCGGUGUCCUGUAGGUUUUAGAUGUCAACCUGGGUCAGCACACCUGAAUCACAUGAUUAAUUCAUUACCAGGCCGCUGGAGAACUUCAAGACAUGUUGAGGAGGUAAUUUAGCAAUUUGAAUCAGCUGUGUUGCAUCAAGGCCUGGAGUUGCCUAGUCCUGGCUUAGACCCUUUGCAGAUGUAAUUGAAUUGUUAGAGGUUGAGGUGUCUCUCCUAAAAUGAUAGUGUUUGAAGAAUGCAGCUAAAAGACUAAGAAUUAGUAACUCCUCAAAAGCAAAUGUUUGUACUAUGAUGAAUUCAGAACUACCAGGAUUCCCACAUAACUGAUAAAUUCUUGAUCCUUGAGUCAUUUGGGUUUAAAGUACCAUCAGAUGUUUUUUUCUCAAACUCUGCAUCAUCACAAAACAACUUGGUGCAUGAUCGGAAACUACAGUGCUAUCAUUGUUUACUCUCUUACAUAGAGUUCCAAAGCUAUAGAAAUACCAAAUUAAAAAUGGUGUUCUGAAGUGUUUUAAUGUUGUAUUUGCAUGAUCCUCAACAUAAACCAGGAAUAUAUAGGACAACAUUUGACUAUCUUAUACAUAUAUAUAUAUAUAUAUAUAUAAAAAAAAAAAACACCCAGCGCGCCCCUGCGGGCGGUUUAUCCUUCAAGCUCGGGUCCUCUACCAGAGGCCUGGGAGCUUGAGGGUCCUGCGCAGUAUCUUAGCUGUUCCCAGGACUGCGCUCUUCUGGACAGAGAUCUCCGAUGUUGUUCCCGGGAUCUGCUGGAGCCACUCGCCUAGCUUGGGAGUCACCGCACCUAGUGCUCCGAUUACCACGGGGACCACCGUCACCUUCACCCUCCACAUCCUCUCGAGCUCUUCUCUCAGCCCUUGGUAUUUCUCCAGCUUCUCGUGUUCCUUCUUCCUGAUAUUGCUGUCAUUCGGAACUGCUACAUCGAUCACUACAGCCGUCUUCUUCUGUUUGUCUACCACCACUAUGUCCGGUUGGUUAGCCACCACCAUUUUGUCCGUCUGCAUCUGGAAGUCCCACAGGAUCUUAGCUCGGUCAUUCUCCACCACCCUUGGGGGCAUCUCCCAUUUUGACCUCGGGACUUCCAGGUUAUACUCGGCACAGAUGUUCCUGUACACUAUGCCGGCCACUUGGUUAUGGCGCUCCAUGUAUGCCUUGCCUGCUAGCAUUUUGCACCCUGCUGUUAUGUGCUGGAUUGUCUCUGGGGCAUCUUUACACAGCCUGCACCUGGGGUCUUGCCUGGUGUGAUAGACCCCAGCCUCUAUGGAUCUUGUACUCAGAGCUUGUUCUUGUGCUGCCAUGAUUAGUGCCUCUGUGCUGUCUUUCAGUCCAGCUUUGUCCAGCCACUGGUAGGAUUUCUGUAUAUCAGCCACCUCCUCUAUCUGCCGGUGGUACAUACCGUGCAGGGGCCUGUCCUUCCAUGAUGGUUCCUCGCCUUCCUCCUCUUUCUUGGGUUUCUGCUGCCUGAGGUAUUCACUGAGCACGCUGUCAGUUGGGGCCAUCUUCGUGAUGUAUUCGUGGAUGUUUCUUGUCUCAUCCUGGACUGUGGUGCUGACACUCACCAGUCCCCGGCCCCCUUCCUUCCGCUUAGCGUACAACCUCAGGGUGCUAGACUUGGGGUGAAACCCUCCAUGCAUGGUAAGGAGCUUUCUUGUCUUGAUGUCAGUGGCUUCUAUCUCCUCCUUUGGCCAGCCUAUUACCCCAGCAGGGUACCUGAUCACAGGCAGGGCGUAGGUGUUGAUGGCCCGGAUCUUGUUCUUACCGUUCAGCUGACUCCUCAGGACUUGCCUGACCCUCUGCAGGUACUUGGUGGUUGCAGCUUUCCUAGCGGCCUCUUCAUCGUUCCCAUUCGCCUGUGGGAUCCCCAGGUACUUGUAACUGUCCUCUAUGUCUGCAAUGUUGCCUUCUGGUAGUUCAAUCCCCUCAGUUCUGACUACCUUCCCUCUCUUUGUUACCAUCCGACUACACUUCUCCAGCCCGAAUGACAUUCCAAUGUCAUUGCUGUAUAGCCUGGUAGUGUGUAUCAGUGAAUCGAUGUCUCGUUCACUCUUGGCAUACAGCUUGAUGUCAUCCAUGUACAGGAGGUGGCUGACAACCGCUCCGUUCCGUAGUCGGUAUCCGUAGCCAGUCUUGUUAAUGAUCUCACUGAGGGGGUUCAGGCCUAUGCAGAACAGCAGUGGGGACAGAGCAUCUCCUUGGUAGAUCCCGCACUUGAUGGUGACUUGUGCUAUGGGCUUGGAGUUGGCCUCUAGUGUUGUGUGCCACAUUCCCAUUGAGUUCCUGAUGAAGGCUCUUAGGGUCCUGUUGAUCUUGUACAAUUCUAGGCAUUCCAGUAUCCAGCUGUGGGGCAUUGAGUCAUAUAUAUAUAUAUAUAUAUAUAUAUAUAUAUAAAACAAAGUCAUUGUAGGUAACUUACAC